CUUUUCAGUCGGGCGCUGAGUGGUUUUUCGGAUCAUGUCUGGUGGCUCCGCGGAUUAUAACAGCAGAGAACAUGGCGGCCCAGAGGGAAUGGACCCCGAUGGUGUCAUCGAGAGCAACUGGAAUGAGAUUGUUGAUAACUUUGAUGAUAUGAAUUUAAAGGAGUCUCUCCUUCGUGGCAUCUAUGCUUACGGUUUUGAGAAGCCUUCCGCUAUUCAGCAGAGAGCUAUUAUUCCCUGUAUUAAAGGUAAAAGAAACUGGCAUUUUUAGGAAAUUGUUCUACAUAGACAUGAACCAUAAAAGGGAAAGUAACCUCUGGGGGACUAGCACCUGUUUGUAUUCCUUAAAGUGAAAUGAUGGCAAUCAUCUUUCGGGACUGACCUGAAAUGAAGAGAAUACUCAUUGCUGAUCACUUGAUUAUUUGGGCAUAAUUAAUGUUCCAAAUGGAAUACAUGGUGUGAAGUAGAAGUGACAAUUUGAUGUGGGAUCGGUAAAUGUGUAUCCUACUUUUUUUAGGGUAUGAUGUGAUUGCUCAAGCUCAGUCAGGUACUGGCAAGACAGCCACAUUUGCUAUUUCCAUCCUGCAACAGUUGGAG
rnacentral:sRNA from 1 species